rnacentral:tRNA from 1 species
GGGCUCGUAGUCUAGCGGUUAGUUUAAUAAUUAAAAAUAAGAAACCCGCAAAUGACGCCACCCUUACAAGGUGGAGGUCGGCAGUUCGAAUCUGCCCGGGCCCA